rnacentral:rRNA from 1 species
AGUACACGAGCGGCGGACGGGUGAGUAACACUGGGAAUCUACCCCAAACUGAGGGAUAAGCACCGGAAACGGUGUCUAAUACCGCAUAUGGUCUUCGGAUUAAAGCUUCGGCGGUUUGGGAAGAGCCCGCGUAAGAUUAGCUAGUUGGUGAGGUAAAGGCUCCCCAAGGCGACGAUCUUUAGCUGGUUUGAGAGGAUGAUCAGCCACACUGGAACUGAGACACGGUCCAGACUCCUACGGGAGGCAGCAGUUAGGAAUUUCCACAAUGGGCGCAAGCCUGAUGGAGCAACGCCGCGUGCAGGAUGAAGGUUUUCGGAUUGUAAACUGCUUUUAUGUGUGAAGAAUAUGACGGUAACACAUGAAUAAGGAUCGGCUAACUCCGUG